CCUGCUCAAUGAAAACUUUAAAUAGCCGCAACUUUGUGCCAAGGUAGCAUAAUAAAUUGUCUUUUAAUUUAAGAAUAGAAUGAAUGGAAAAACGAAUUAUAAACUUUUUUAUAAUUAUUCUAUUAAUUUAAAUUUUAUGUAAAAAUUCAUAAAAAAAAUAAAUAGACGACAAGACCCUAACGAACUUAACUUUAAGUUUAACUGGGGUGGUAUAAAUAAUUAAAACUUAAAAAAAACUUUAACUUAACUUAUUUAAUAAAAUUUUAAGUUACCGUAGGGAUAACAGCAUAAUAAAGUUUUAAGAUCAUAUUUAUUACUAUAUUUAUAUAUGACCUCGAUGUUGAAUUAUUAAUUCUAUUUUAUGAAAAAGCAAAAUAAGUAAGUCUGUUCGACUUUUAAAAUAAUACAU
rnacentral:rRNA from 1 species